UGAAUAUGCACGCGUGGGACGACAUAAUGACAGCGGAAUCUCUGCAAUUGCAUUGAGCUCAACAGGCUCCUAUGGAAGACUAUUCUCUUUAUGGCCUGUCUUGGAGAAAGAGCAUACCAUCCUUGGCAUUUCUUCUGCAUCUGUUGAUAUCAUCAGCCCGUAACACUUGGAAGAAGGAAACUCCAUUUCCAAGUCUAGGGAAGAGUGAUUAUGAAUUCAAUAUGCCAGCACAGAAAUUCAAAGAGAGCACAUAGUGUUAACAACAGUAACUUUUUCUUCCCUGAGGCUACAGUGCCCUGCUGGGAGCUGGUGCCAGAUCUGGU